CCUACGGGAGGCAGCAGUGAGGAAUAUUGGUCAAUGGCCGAAAGCCUGAACCAGCCAAGUCGCGUGCAGGAUGACGGCCCUACGGGUUGUAAACUGCUUUUGUACGGGAGUAACGAGCGUUACGCGUAGCGCUUUGCAUGUACCGUAUGAAUAAGGAUCGGCUAAAUCCGUGCCAGCAGCCGCGGUAAUACGGAGGGUGCGGGCGUUAUCCGGAUUUAUUGGGUUUAAAGGGGGCGUAGGCGGCAGGUGAAGUUAGCGGUGAAAUUGGGGGGCUCAACCCCGGCCUCGCAGCUGAAACUGGGGUGCUUGAGUCGGCGGGAAGCAGGCGGAAUGCGUGGUGUAGCGGUGAAAUGCUUAGAUAUCACGCAGAACCCCGAUUGCGAAGGCAGCGUACCGGCGCGCAACUGACGCUGAUGCACGAAAGCGUGGGUAUCGAACAGGAUUAGAUACCCCAGUAGUC
rnacentral:rRNA from 1 species